CCCCCACAAACACACGCAGGACGCAGCAAGAACAAUGAACAAGUGAACAAGCAUGAAAAUCCCCAAUUUGUUUUCGUCUCAUCUCAAAUCUCACUCUAUGAUUUUCAUUUACAAACACCACCACAACACAAUAGUUUACAAAUAUACCAAGAUAGAACUCAUUAGUUACCUAUUGAUGGGAGGAAUGGAGGAAGAUGCAAUUGCAAUCUGGAUCUGGAGAUGGAAAAACAAAAAUUCUUUGAAACUUGAAGCAAGGACGAAGGAAAGAAAGAAGCAAGCAGCAACAAAUCUGACUUUGUGAUAAGAAAUGAAAGAGAAGAGAAGAACGAAGUAGAGACAAGACAAGAGAAAUUAGAGGUACUGAUUCAUAAGUAAAAGCUAAA
rnacentral:lncRNA from 1 species